AGCAGCCGCGGUAAUUCCAGCUCCAAUAGCGUAUAUUAAAGUUGUUGUGGUUAAAAAGCUCGUAGUUGAACCUUGGGCCUGGCUGGCCGGUCCGCCUCACCGCGUGUACUGGUCCGGCCGGGCCUUUCCCUCUGUGGAACCCCAUGCCCUUCACUGGGUGUGGCGGGGAAACAGGACUUUUACUUUGAAAAAAUUAGAGUGCUCCAGGCAGGCCUAUGCUCGAAUACAUUAGCAUGGAAUAAUAGUAUAGGACGUGUGGUUCUAUUUUGUUGGUUUCUAGGACCGCCGUAAUGAUUAAUAGGGACAGUCGGGGGCAUCAGUAUUCAAUUGUCAGAGGUGAAAUUCUUGGAUUUAUUGAAGACUAACUACUGCGAAAGCAUUUGCCAAGGAUGUUUUCAUUAAUCAGGAACGAAAGUUAGGGGAUCGAAGACGAUCAGAUACCGUCGUAGUCUUAACCAUAAACUAUGCCGACUAGGGAUCGGACGAUGUUAUUUUUGACUCGUUCGGCACCUUACGGGAA
rnacentral:rRNA from 1 species